rnacentral:rRNA from 1 species
GAUCAUGGCUCAGGACGAACGCUGGCGGCGUGCUUAACACAUGCAAGUCGAACGGAGCACCCUUGAAUGAGGUUUCGGCCAAAGGAAAGGAAUGCUUAGUGGCGGACUGGUGAGUAACGCGUGAGGAACCUGCCUUUCAGAGGGGGACAACAGCUGGAAACGGCUGCUAAUACCGCGUGACGCAUUCGGAUGGCAUCAUCUGAAUGCCAAAGAUUUAUCGCUGAAAGAUGG